AUUAUACAGCGAAACUGCGAAUGGCUCAUUAAAUCAGUUAUCGUUUAUUUGAUAGUACCUUACUACUUGGAUAACCGUGGUAAUUCUAGAGCUAAUACAUGCUAAAAACCCCGACUCACGAAGGGGUGUAUUUAUUAGAUUAAAAACCAAUGCCCUUCGGGGCUCUUUGGUGAUUCAUAAUAACUUUUCGAAUCGCAUGGCCUUGCGCCGGCGAUGGUUCAUUCAAAUUUCUGCCCUAUCAACUUUCGAUGGCAGGGUCUUGGCCUGCCAUGGUUACAACGGGUAACGGAGGGUUAGGGCUCGACCCCGGAGAAGGAGCCUGAGAAACGGCUACUACAUCCAAGGAAGGCAGCAGGCGCGCAAAUUACCCAAUCCCGAUUCGGGGAGGUAGUGACAAUAAAUACUGAUACAGGGCUCUUUUGGGUCUUGUAAUUGGAAUGAGUACAAUUUAAAUCCCUUAACGAGGAACAAUUGGAGGGCAAGUCUGGUGCCAGCAGCCGCGGUAAUUCCAGCUCCAAUAGCGUAUAUUAAAGUUGUUGCAGUUAAAAAGCUCGUAGUUGAACCUUGGGCCUGGCUGGCCGGUCCGCCUCACCGCGUGCACUGGUUCGGCCGGGCCUUUCCCUCUGGGGAACCCCAUGGUCUUCACUGAUCGUGGCGGGGAACCAGGACUUUUACUGUGAAAAAAUUAGAGUGUUCAAAGCAGGCAUAUGCUCGAAUACAUUAGCAUGGAAUAAUAAAAUAGGACGUGUGGUUCUAUUUUGUUGGUUUCUAGGACCGCCGUAAUGAUUAAUAGGGACAGUCGGGGGCAUCAGUAUUCAAUUGUCAGAGGUGAAAUUCUUGGAUUUAUUGAAGACUAACUACUGCGAAAGCAUUUGCCAAGGAUGUUUUCAUUAAUCAGGAACGAAAGUUAGGGGAUCGAAGACGAUCAGAUACCGUCGUAGUCUUAACCAUAAACUAUGCCGACUAGGGAUCGGACGGUGUUAUUUUUUGACCCGUUCGGCACCUUACGAGAAAUCAAAGUC
rnacentral:rRNA from 1 species